UUUCUGGACUACAGUGCUCCCCAGAUCAGGACUGCCACCACCCUGCACAUCCUGAGCAGAGACUCAGGGCCCCCUGCCCCUUCUUCCUUCCCUCCACCCAUCCAACAGGUUCUAGUGAAGUGCCUGGCACAGUGUUUGUUGAAAUGAACUGAGACAGAGGUGAUUCCGAAAGGCGGGGCAGGGCUCCUCCUGGGCACACCCUUUCCACGCGUGUAUCUGCGGACGGGGAGGACGCAGGACUGACGGCAGCAUUUGAACGAAGGGGGUUGGGGUAUUGGCCUUUCCAAAGGCAACAAGUCCCGGCCCUCAUUAUCCCCGCUGGGAUGGGGCAGGAAGGAGCUUUCCCCGGGGACCCUGAGGCCAAGCCGCUCGCUGACUUUGAUCUCUCCCUCUUCAGUGAAGGAACAAAGCUCUGCCUGCCGAGGGGAGCUGCCUGCCCUUAGCCCAAAUCCAGUCGGGGCUGACUCCAAACCAGCUGGUGCGUAGGCUUCUUACAUCUGACAGUCCUCUUUGAUCCAGUGACACCAGCCUCUGGACUGGUCCAGGAACAACACCUUCCAUCUCUGGUUCUGGGCAUUCUCUUUGGCUGCCCCUCCUCAUUUCCACCUACUGGCUUCCCUGGUCUCUUUGAAGUCCCACCACCUCCUACA